CCGCCGGCGACCGGCGCACGGGUGAGUAACACGUAUGCAACCUGGCCGUGACAGAUGGAUAACCGGGAGAAAUCCCGCCUAAUACAGCAUGACGCCGCGGGAGGACAUCCUCCCGCGGCCAAAGGGGCGACCCGGUCACGGAUGGGCAUGCGGCGCAUUAGGUAGUUGGUGGGGCAACGGCCCACCAAGCCGACGAUGCGGAGGGGUUCUGAGAGGAAGGUCCCCCACAUUGGAACUGAGACACGGUCCAAACUCCUACGGGAGGCAGCAG
rnacentral:rRNA from 1 species